rnacentral:rRNA from 1 species
AUUGAACGCUGGCGGCAGGCCUAACACAUGCAAGUCGAGCGGAUGAAGGGAGCUUGCUCCUGGAUUCAGCGGCGGACGGGUGAGUGAUGCCUAGGAAUCUGCCGGGCAGGGGGGUAUAACGUCCUGAAACGGGCGCUAAUACCGCAUACGUCCUGAGGGAGAAAGUGGGGGAGCUUCGGACCUCACGCUAUCAGAUGAGCCUAGGUCGGAUUAGCUAGUUGGUGGGGUAAAGGCCUACCAAGGCGACGAUCCGUAACUGGUCUGAGAGGAUGAUUAGUCACACUGGAACUGAGACACGGUCCAGACUACUACGGGAGGGAGCAGUGGGGAAUAUUGGGCAAUAGGCGAAAGCCUGAUCCAGCCAUGCCGCGUGUGUGAAGAAGGUCUUCGGAUUGUAAAGAACUUUAAGUUGGGAGGAAGGGCAGUAAGUUAAUACCUUGCUGUUUUGACGUUACCAACAGAAUAAGCACCGGCUAACUUCGUG